rnacentral:rRNA from 1 species
AUUGCCCUAGUAACGGCGAGUGAAGCGGCAACAGCUCAAAUUUGAAAUCUGGCUACUUUGUAGUCCGAGUUGUAAUUUGUAGAGGAUGCUUUUGGUGAGGUGCCUUCCGAGUUCCCUGGAACGGGACGCCAUAGAGGGUGAGAGCCCCGUACGGUUGGAUGCCAAACCUUUGUAUAGCUCCUUCAACGAGUCGAGUAGUUUGGGAAUGCUGCUCUAAAUGGGAGGUAUAUCUCUUCUAAAGCUAAAUAUAGGCUAGAGACCGAUAGCGCACAAGUAGAGUGAUCGAAAGAUGAAAAGCACUUUGAAAAGAGAGUUAAACAGCACGUGAAAUUGUUGAAAGGGAAGCGCCUAUGACCAGACUUGUCUCUAUCAGUUUUGCUAGUUUUCGGACUGGUUUACUCUGUUAGUACAGGCCAGCAUCAGUUUGUUGUUAGGGAGAAAGGCUUUGGGAAUGUGGCUCCUCCGGGAGUGUUAUAGCCCUUUGCAUAAUACCUUUCGGCAGACUGAGGACCGCGCUUCGGCAAGGAUGCUGGCGUAAUGGUCAUCAGCGACCCGUCUUGAAACACGGACCAAGGAGUCAACCUUAUGUGCGAGUGUUUGGGUGUAAAACCCCAGCGCGUAAUGAACGUGAACGUAGGUGAGAGCUUCGGCGCAUCAUCGACCGAUUCUGAUGUUCUCGGAUGGAUUUGAGUAAGAGCACACAGGGUUGGACCCGAAAGAAGGUGAACUAUGCUUGUAUAGGGUGAAGCCAGAGGAACUCUGGUGGAGGCUCGCAGCGGUUCUGACGUGCAAAUCGAUCGUCAAAUAUGAGCAUGGGGGCGAAAGACUAAUCGAACCUUCUAGUAGCUGGUUCCAGCCGAAGU